UACGGAGGGUGCAAGCGUUAUCCGGAUUUAUUGGGUUUAAAGGGUCCGCAGGCGGACUAGUAAGUCAGGGGUGAAAUCCGGCAGCUCAACUGUCGAACUGCCUUUGAAACUGCUGGUCUUGAGUGAGAAUGAAGCAGCUGGAAUGUGUGGUGUAGCGGUGAAAUGCUUGGAUAUCACGAGGAACUCCGAUUGCGCAGGCAGCUUACUAAACUACUACUGACGCUCAGGCACGAAGGCGUGGGGAUCAAACAGGAUUA
rnacentral:rRNA from 1 species